UGGGGAAUAUUGGGCAAUGGGCGCAAGCCUGACCCAGCAACGCCGCGUGAAGGAAGAAGGCUUUCGGGUUGUAAACUUCUUUUACCAGGGACGAAGAAAGUGACGGUACCUGGAGAAUAAGCCACGGCUAACUACGUGCCAGCAGCCGCGGUAAUACGUAGGUGGCGAGCGUUAUCCGGAUUUACUGGGUGUAAAGGGCGCGUAGGCGGGAGUGCAAGUCAGAUGUGAAAUCUAGGGGCUCAACCCCUAAACUGCAUUUGAAACUGUAUUUCUUGAGUGAUGGAGAGGCAAGUGGAAUUCCUAGUGUAGCGGUGAAAUGCGUAGAUAUUAGGAGGAACACCAGUGGCGAAGGCGACUUGCUGGACAUUAACUGACGCUGAUGCGCGAAAGCGUGGGGAGCAAACAGG
rnacentral:rRNA from 2 species